rnacentral:rRNA from 1 species
GAUGAACGCUGGCGGUAUGCUUAACACAUGCAAGUCGAACGGACACUUCGGAGUUAGUGGCGGAGGGGGGAGGAACGCGUGGGAAUCUGGCUUUGGGUUCGGGACAACUACUGGAAACGGUGGCUAAUACCGGAUGGGCCGAGAGGUAAAAGAGGAAUUGCCUGAAGAUGAGCUCGCGUCUUAUUAGGUAGUUGGUGAGGUAAAGGCUCACCAAGGCAGCGAUCAGUAGGUGGUUUGAGGGGAUAACCAGCCACACUGGGACUGAGACACGGCCGAGACUCCUACGGGAGGCAGCAGUGGGAAAUUUUCCGCAAGGGGCGAGAGCGUGACGGAGCAAUACCGCGUGAGAGAAGAAGGCUCUUGGGGUGUAACGCUCUUUUCUUAGGGAAGAACAAAGUGACGGUACCUAAGGAAUCAGCAUCGGCUAACUACGUG